UGGGGAAUAUUGCACAAUGGGCGCAAGCCUGAUGCAGCCAUGCCGCGUGUGUGAAGAAGGCCUUCGGGUUGUAAAGCACUUUCAGCGAGGAGGAAGGUGGUGAGCUUAAUACGCUCAUCAAUUGACGUUACUCGCAGAAGAAGCACCGGCUAACUCCGUGCCAGCAGCCGCGGUAAUACGGAGGGUGCAAGCGUUAAUCGGAAUUACUGGGCGUAAAGCGCACGCAGGCGGUUUGUUAAGUCAGAUGUGAAAUCCCCGGGCUCAACCUGGGAACUGCAUUUGAAACUGGCAAGCUAGAGUCUCGUAGAGGGGGGUAGAAUUCCAGGUGUAGCGGUGAAAUGCGUAGAGAUCUGGAGGAAUACCGGUGGCGAAGGCGGCCCCCUGGACGAAGACUGACGCUCAGGUGCGAAAGCGUGGGGCAGCAAACAGGAUUAGAUACCCUGGUAGUCCACGCUGUAAAACGAUGUCGAUUUUGGAGGUUGUGCCCUUGAGGCGUGGCUUCCGGAGCUAACGCGUUAAAUCGACCG
rnacentral:rRNA from 1 species